AGCUUGUUUGUUGUUACUUUCUGGUGAAAGUUUCCUCGCUGGGGCCGGGCAUUUCUGGAGGACAGCAUUGGGUGGAGCUGAAAAGGAGGGGCCCGCGGGUGCCUGGACCUGGAUGGGGCGGGGUUGACCAAAUCCCUUCCUUUGGAUUCCACCUCCAGCUAGACCCCGUGGAGCCUGGUUUUCCCAUCUCUGCCCCUCUGCUGAGCCGUUCUAGAGCCCCUACCCAUGAUUGUUCUAUCGAAGCUAACGCUUGCCUUCGACUUAUCGUCACGAUAAUCGUUAUCAUCACCAUUGGACUGUGAACCCCCGACCGAACUCUCCCCUGGAACGGCUGUUACUUACAAAUAAUUCCUGUUCUCACUAACAUCGUGACAAGGAGACAGAUGCAACCUGUUCGGGCUCGGUGGUCUGGGAAUCCGUACUGCUGCAGCACCCCACGCACAACCCCUUUGCCCUCCGGUCCCCACGGUCCGGUCCACAGGGCGGGCUCCACAGCCCCUCCCUGAAGGAGGGGAAACCCUGCGUGGGUUUUGCCGCUGCCUUGCUGGCUGCUGCAUGCUGGGAACUUGCCGACAUCACCAUCCGGACAGUGUUCACGGCAACCCAGGGUUCGGACCGGCCAGCGAGUUGACCAGAAUCCUGCAAAUACUGAGUGACGAGCCAGCCGUUGGCCUCGGGUCUUUCCGAUUCCAGAGCCCACGUUUUUCACCGACAUAUGGGGCCAGAAGUGCUCCCUCUUCCGUUCCUCCUCUCUCCUCCCCAGCUCUUUGCCCACAGCCCAGCACCGCCAGGGCCCCUUGGACAGGCAUCUGAGAUGCCGUGUCACUUGCUGGGACUGUGAGAGGAACCUGGCUUUGGAGACGCCCCGACCUCAUGCACCCGCGCCCCCAGGAUCCGUAGUCCACCCCUGGUUUGGGAACCACCUGUCUGGGGAUGACACACGGAUGUUCCCUUCACUUCUAGCAGCUCAGACGUGCACCCAGGGUUAACCCUGAGCAUCACCUGCUGCAGAUGUGUGAGUGACGAUCACGCUGUGCCCGGGGUUACUGUCACACGUUUGUUCCAAGGAGCAUCUCUUCUGGGCGUCUGUGACCCUCACAGCAUCCUGAGAAGUAGAGCCUCACUUAGGCCCCUUGAACGGGGAAAACAGGCUCACAGUGAUUUUUGAAGCCAGAGGACUCCAGAGUUCCUUCAGCUUCUCGUUGACAGAUAAAGAAGCUGAAACCCAGAGAGCAGUGACCAGAGAGUGUGGGGCCGAGCUGGCACCAGAUCCCGGGCUCCCUCGGUCCCCAGGCCGGUGCCUAAACAGAAUGGCAGGCAUCCCACAGGCCAGUCCCGGAUGUUGGUGGUUUUUUGUUUGGUUUUGUUCUUUAG